rnacentral:tRNA from 1 species
GAACAGGUAAGCUAAUAUUUUUUAAAGCUAUUGGGCUCAUAACCCAACAAUGGAGCUAUUCCCCUAUUCA